rnacentral:lncRNA from 1 species
GAGCCCGAGAGGCAGGGAUAGUUCCGGUCCCCAUUGCGUGGAUGACAUCAUGAUCCUCCAUAUGGGCGCCUCUGUGCCGUCCCAGAGAGCAGCAUGUCAGAACUCCGCCCCAUGGGAUGAUCGAGUUCCCAGUAGCAUAUUGACUGCACUGCUCUGGUGGUGGAGAAUGCACCAUGGCCCCUCCUGCCUCAUCCUGGGAGUGAGUCGUCAGGUGGUCCUGGCCGUCUGUCCCAGGCUCACCGACACUGAGGGGGGCUGAGUCAGCACAUAGGAGGCUAUGGAACCUGCAAGAGAGAAAAGGAGAGGUGUGAUUCCUGUGUGAAUUUCCCAGAAAACUGGAGGCGAAGCAUCAGCCUUUUUGUAGCUGACGUUGAGGCUUAUCUGCUGGGUCACCUUGUUGACAUAUGACAGUGACCACAUUGCAAUGGCUGCACCUUUCAUCCUCCUUCAGCUUCUGACUCCUGUGCCAGGUAUGUGUUUCAGUAUGAUACCAAAUUUCUGUUACACAUCCUUUAAUAUUAUAUAUUUAUGCAUGUACACAUAUAU